GUUGGUCGGUCCGGAACGAGGCUG
rnacentral:piRNA from 1 species